rnacentral:misc_RNA from 1 species
AUUGAACCAAUAGAAUCCAUGUUUAAUGUAUCCAAACCUCUCGUGUGAUUGGUCGUCCGAUUUUCUGAGAGUGAAGAUGAACUCAAGGAUGUACAUAGCACUGUAUUAACUACUGCUUCCAUUACAGAGGGAAAUUCAGGGACAAAAUCGUUUGCUCAAGCAUUGGAGUUUUUGUGUUAUUUGGUCAACCUGUAGAUGUGUCUGUUACUAUGGCAACCACAUAUUCGAAUUAUGUAUGAUCGGUCGUACAAUUAAAACCCUUAUUUUAAUUCCAAUGACAUGUCUCGUUUUUUGAGACAUGCUUUAAAAAUUAAAAAAAAAUAUUGUGUGGCAAUUAUCAUAUCAGCUAUGAUUGUUUUACUGAAAUUACUUGUAGCGACAUACACACGCCUGUCUGAUAACCACAUUGUCGGUGAGAUAAUUGGAGCAUCAUUUAAUGAUGAAUUUUACAAGUAUCAAAUUUACAAUGUACUUACAGUUUAAGUUCCUUGUAAUUUUAGAAUGAUUUAUAAAAAUCUGAAUUACUAGCUACGUACAGUGAUGAGAAUUUACACAGAACAACGAUUUUUAUGUUUGAAAUAGUAUUAUAGCAACUUUUACUUUAUCAAUGACUGUACUGCCCACUUUUACCCAAGAACAUAAAACCGCAUUUUUGUCUCAGUAUCAUAAAAAUUAAAGGCGAUGGUUUCU